GCACUCCCCGUCAUCGUCACCCGGUUCGUGUUGCCAAGCUCACUACUUUUGAGUAUUGAGUGUAGUUAAUCUAUCGGCCGUUUUCGUUUUCCCGUGUGCGUUUCUUAUUAUUUUUUUCCACUUUAUUCCACACGCGAUUCCCCCCUCAUGCACUUCCUACCAUCAUAAUCCGUUGUGUCCGCCGCCGCCGCGCGAAUCACCAACCAUUGCCCCGCGAAAACAAAACCGUUUCGUCGCGCGCACGACAACCAACGCCGUCACCCUCAUCAUCCCCGAUAAAGGUCUGUUGUCGUUGUCGUCGCCGCCGCCACCACCGCCGGUGAAACAGGACCAUAGCAAUAGCAGCAGUAGAAGCAGCAGCAGCAGUGGCAGUAGCAGUGGUUGUAACAACAACAACAACAGCAACGACAGCAACAACAACAACAAUAGCACCACCAGUACCCGUCGCCACCGCCGCCUCCUCCUCCGUACGCCGUACACGAUUAACGCAGUACCGACCUCAGCAGCGGCAUCAGCGACAAUAACAACAACAACAGUACCCUCAACGAACGCCGAAAUGGAGCCACAAGACACAAGCAUGACGAACCUGAUAAUCAACUAUCUACCGCAGUCGAUGACCGAUAAAAAACUUCAUCAAAUGUUCACCCAGAUUGGACAAAUCGAAGCGUGUCGGGUGAUGAAAGACGUCAAAACUGGGUACAGUUUUGGUUUUGGUUUCGUCAACUUUGUUCGCCCUGAAGAUGCAUCUAAAGCUAUUGAGGUGAUGAAUGGUCUUCAAGUUGAGAAUAAACGUUUAAAAGUAUCUUACGCUCGACCUGCUGGAGAAGAUAUCAAAGAUACAAACCUCUAUGUUCAAAAUUUACCAAGAUCAAUAACAGAAAGAGAACUUGAAGAUUUAUUUGCCCCUUAUGGUCAAAUUGUUCAAAAAAAUAUACUCAAAGACAAAUAUAGUGGACUUCCCAGAGGAGUAGCAUUUGUUCGUUAUAACAAAAAAGAAGAUGCCCAAAAAGCAAUUAUUCAACUAAAUGGUGUUUUGUUGGAGGGAUGCACAGAGCAUCUAUCAGUAAAAAUAGCAGAGGAACACGGCAAACAGAAAGCAGCUUAUUUAGCCGGUCUACAAACCGGUUUAGCGCACAGAGGUACAAAUGACACCCUCACAUACUUAAGCUACUAGAUAACAAAAGAAAAAAAGAAAAAAACCUAAAAAUUUCCCCCAACCAAUAAUCUGUUUCAAUGUCUUCGAAGUUACAUGUCAUAGAUCAGAAACAAAAUGUAAUAGCUUGAAUUCUGGCUCAUCGGUUUCCUGGGCUAAAAAUCCACAAAACAUGCACCAAUUAAUCAGAGCUAAUCAUGUUAUUGACAAGUAUCCCAAUCCAUUGUUGCAGCAUGUUGAAAGACAUACUAUUGGUGCUAUGCGCCAAGAUAGGGCUAGUUACCGUCUUACAUCAGUCGGUUUGUUUCCACCGCCACUUAGCUACAAUGUCGGCAUCGGUAAUGGGAACAUGUAUUGAUAUGCAUCACUUUCCAAAAAACACCUUUGUACAAAUUUUAAGGUUUUUUUCUUUUUAAUGUAAAUUAAAUUAAAUUAAUAUAAUAUAUAUAUAUAUACAACCAAUCUCCAUAAAUUAAAAUUGCUCGAUUGAAAACAAAAAAAAUUGUUGUAGAUUUCUUCUAUAUUUAGUCUAGAAAUUGUAUUGUAAAUAAUUUCAAGUAACAAUAAAGUUUAUGUUAUAAUUCUUUUGGAAUAUUUGAAAAAAAACUCAUAAUUUUAAUUUUGAUAUUAAUAUUAUCCUUUUAUAUAAUAAUUAAUUAUCUUAAUUAGUUUAAAAUAUAAGUAUGCAUGUGUGCCUGUAUUUCAUGUUUUUCUACUGUAAUGUUUUUUAAAUAAAAUAACUUGUCUGUAUA
rnacentral:misc_RNA from 1 species